UACGUAGGGCGCAAGCGUUGUCCGGAAUUAUUGGGCGUAAAGAGCUCGUAGGCGGUUUGUCGCGUCUGCUGUGAAAACCUAAGGCUCAACCUUGGGCUUGCAGUGGGUACGGGCAGACUAGAGUGCGGUAGGGGUGACUGGAAUUCCUGGUGUAGCGGUGGAAUGCGCAGAUAUCAGGAGGAACACCGAUGGCGAAGGCGGCCCGCUGGGCAGGAAGACGGAGCAAUCCGUCGGCUGA
rnacentral:rRNA from 1 species